GCGGUUUUGGGGGGCGCGUUUGCCGGGC
rnacentral:sRNA from 1 species